GACAGAGGCCUCAAGCGUUUAGGCGGAAAUCACUGGGCUUAAAGCGUGUGUAGGCGGAUCGUUAAGUGUCUUGUGAAAUCCCAACGGCUGCACCCGUGGGAACUGGCUGGGCAUACGUGGCGAUCUUGGGCCAACUAGGGGCAACUGGAACAAGCGGUGGAGCGGUGAAAUGCGUAGGAUAUCGGCUUGGAACGCCAAAGGUGAAAACGG
rnacentral:rRNA from 1 species